AGAAACAAAAGUACAAUUUCGCUAAUUCCUGCAGUUCUGUGGUUGCACAAACUGGUGGUUCAUUUUGCUAAUUCUUGCGGUCUACAAUUUCUUUUUGUUUUGCUAAAACUGGUAAUUUUGGUUUGUCAGAAGAUGGUGAACUGUGGGAGUACUUCCCUUGCUCUUUCUGCUACAUCAAGGUCGAAAAAAGCCCUUCAUCUGCAUCUAUCUGCCGGAGGAACACUGCUUUGACAUCAGGAACGCUGUGAGAGAGCCUCUCCUCUCUUUUCCUUUUGCCUUCUAAUCCCCAAGUCUUCGUUAUCGCAUAUUAGUUUUGAUCAAGACAUAACCUUGAGCUAAUAAAUUGUUCUUGCUGGAAAUGCAUUUACAAAAUUAUUGACAUCUUUUUGUUAGUAAGGCUGUAAGCAAUCUGGAGAUACCUAGUAUGCCACUGUAUGCUUCUUUAUACAAUCCCAAAUGGAUUAUAUAGCUCCUGUUAAUAGAAUAAAUAUUCUGGAAAAAGCUCAAAUACUAUCAUACGGUCAGUUCAAAAAAAUCUGACGAGCACUUGCAAUGUACAUAGUUUUUGCAGAAAAGAUUUCAAAAACUCAGGUUCACCGAUUUAAUGAAUUACUAUAAGUUCAAAUUUCCUAAUAUCCACAGUUCUGGUUGAGGAAUUUAGGUAGUUUAUUUUUCUAACCCUCGACUGUCUGUAGUUCAUUAGUUCAUUGUCACCACACAUAUUGUUUACAAACUUAAAGUUCAGAGGGUUGGUUGUAUUUAGUACUUCUAAUUGGACUAUUUAAGUCCAAAUGUUUACUUUGCAUGAUGGAAAAAAUUGUGUAUCAUGUAGUUCCUCCACUAGAGCCACUGCGGCCCCCGGCAGCCCAUGGUGGAGGAGUUCGUCGCGUCCAUCAGUCCAACCCCAUGGCUUCAGGGCGUCCGAGUUUCGUCGCGGCCAUCAGUUCGGACACCUGCGUCACUGCGUGUGUUGCAACCAUGGCCAUUUGUGUCACUGCGUGCUCCGUCACCGGCCUCCUGCGCACCGUGACCCCUGCCACACUCCUUCCUCUCACUGAAGCCGCUCGUGCCCUCCCAGGCUUGAUAUCCUGCUGCAGCGAUGAGCUCCUGUACAUCGCCGAAGUUCCAUACCUGCUCAACGGCACCAGCACGAGGAUGCAGCAGCUAGGCUGAACCCCAGUUCGUGCCUCAAGGUCAAGUACGCGGACGCCUGCGAGGAGGUAUCCAUCUCUCUCUUCCUACUCCUAUGCUUUAUUUGUACCAAGCUUUUGCGAAGAUGCUUAAAUGCACAUGUUUCCUAUAAUCUUUACAUACACACUCUUUCUAUUUUGUCCCUCGCGUAGUCACUUUGCCUUUUUAUGCUUAAAGGCACCUUCAGUGCAGGUUCUCCGGUGCGCCAAGUAUUGCCGGCAGCGAUGCCUGCUUACGUCUUCCUCGUAUGAUUCGCCAAGGCCGCGUCCUCCUCUGAGAUAAGAAGAGAGACAAGGAGGUAAAAGGAACACCAGAUUUUUACAAAUUCUGCAGAUGUAGUACGUAUUUGCCAUUUUGCCAAAGCAGUGAGUCUAUGUGCUGAUGUUUCUCUUGUCUUCUCUUGGAUGUAUUUGUCUAGAUGGAGAGCACGGUCUUUUUUUCGUGGAGCUGGCGCUGCUGCAGUACGGCCUAGUCCAGUCUAAGGCCUCCAUGGUUGCUGCUGCUGUUUCCGCAACCAGGCUACCCCGAAGAAGACCCCUAUGUGAAUUGACAAUCUAAAUUAUACACAAGUAGCAAUGGGGCUGACUGAGAGUGAUCCCUGAACCAUUUCAUUAAAGGCCAUGGUUUCCAAUAAUGCUAAUGCUACUAGAAAGGAACUAGAGGCCAUGAAGCCUCUUAGCUUCUUCAAUUAGCAUGUUUGGCCAGUCCUGAAGCGCCUCCUCAAGCUCUUCGACGAUAACCAGGCGCCCAUCAAGGACAAGAGCUACAACAUCCUUGUUGACACCACUGGAUGGCAAAAGCAAUGAACCAAUACCUACCACUACCCGUCAUUACAAUGCCGCCCUUGUACAAGGUUCAAAGACAUUAUACUGAGAAGGAAAGGAGAUGCUACGGUCAGCAGCUUCCUCGUGCCAUCGCGGUAUGGUGUGAGUCCCUUGUUCAUCCUCUGCCAUUUGUUUUAGUAACUAGCAGCAGCAUAACCCCACCUGCACAUUUUUUUGUAAGUUCUACAAAAUUUAGAGCUUCAGUCCAACUAUGUUGCUUCUGCGAUUAUCCAUACGUAGAAAAUCACACUAAAGAUUGUUUUGUUCUCUGAACCUAAACACAUUUUUUCUUUGAGCUUAAAUGCAUUUAUUCUC